GUGCCUUUUUAAAAGUUAGUUUGUGGAAUUUCUUUCAUUCUUAAUGCGUUUGAGCCAAUCAGUUGUGUUGUGACAAGGUAGGGGUGGUAUACAGAAGAUAGCCCUAUUUGGUAAAAGACCAAGUUGAUAUUAUGGGAAGAACAUCUCAAAUAAGCAAAGAGAAACAACAGUCCAUCAUUACUUUAAGACAUGAAGGUCAGUCAAUAUGGAACAUUUCAAGAACUUUGAACGUUUCUUUAAGUGCAGUCGCAAAAAUCAUCAAGCGCUAUGAUGAAACAGGCUCUCAUGAGGACUGCCACAGGAAUGGAAGACCCAGAGUUACCUCUGCUGCAGAGGAUAAGUUCAUUCAAGUUACCAGCCUCAGAAAUUGCAAGCCAAUUGCAGGUCAAAUAAAGAGUUCAAGUAACAGACACAUCUCAACAUCAACUGUUCAGAGGAGACUGUGUGAAUCAGGUCUUCAUGGUCGAAUUGCUGCAAAGAAACCACUACUAAAGAACACCAAUAAGAAGAAGAGACUUGCUUGGGCCAAGAAACACAAGCAAUGGACAUUAGACUGAUGGAAAUGUGUCCUUUGGUCUGGAGUCCAAAUUGUAGAUUUUUGAUUCCAACCGCCGUGUCUUUGUGAGACGCGGUGGGGGUGAACGGAUGAUCUCCGCAUGUGUGGUUCCCACCGCGAAGCAUGGAGGAGGAGGAGUGAUCGUGUGGGGGUGCUUUGCUGGUGACACUGUCUGUGAUUUAUUUAGAAUUCAAGGCACACUUAACCAGCAUGGCUACCACAGCAUUUUACAGCGAUACGCCAUCCCAUCUGGUUUGGGCUUAGUGGGACUGUCAUGACUUCCGCCAAAGUCGGUCCCUCUCCUUGUUCGGGCAGCGUUCGGCGGUCGACGUCACCAGGCUUCUAGCCAUCACUGAUCCACCUUUCAUUUUCCAUUGGUUUUGUCUGUUUUCUACACACCUGGUUUUCAUUCCCCAAUUACAUAUUCAUGUAUUUAACCCUCUGUUUACCCCAUGUUUUUUUGUGCGUGACUGUUUUUAUUAUUCAUGACAGUUCAUGAUGGCUGGUUUUUUGACGGGUGCUGUUUUCACCCGUGUGUAAUUUUUUCCGUUUGUAUUUGGCCAAGUGUAUUUUUACCUUGUGCCUUGAUUUAUGAGUAAAGUACAUUGCUCACUAAUUUUUUCUCUCCUGCGCCUGACCUCAUGCACCAGCUACACUCACCUUCUGACAGGGAGUAUCAUUUGUUUUUCAACAGGACAAUGACCCAACACACCUCCAGGCUGUGUAAGGGCUAUUUUACCAAGAAGGAGAGUGAUGGAGUGCUGCAUCAGAUGACCUGGCCUCCACAAUCACCCGACCUCAAACCAAUUGAGAUGGUUUGGGAUGAGUUGGACCGCAGAGUGAAGGAAAAGCUGGCAACAAGUGCUCAGCAUAUGUGGGAACGCCUUCAAGACUGUUGGAAAAGCAUUCCAGGUGAAAAUGGUUGAGAGAAUGCCAAGAGUGUGCAAAGCUGUCAUCAAGGCAAAGGGUGGCUAUUUGAAUAAUCUCAAAUAUUACAUAUAUUUUGAUUUGUUUAACACUU
rnacentral:lncRNA from 1 species